rnacentral:rRNA from 1 species
UACGUAGGGGGCAAGCGUUGUCCGGAUUUAUUGGGCGUAAAGCGCGUGUAGGCGGUCCGGUAAGUCCGCUGUGAAAGUCGAGGGCUCAACCCUCGAAUGCCGGUGGAAACUGUCGGGCUAGAGUGCGGAAGAGGCGAGUGGAAUUCCUGGUGUAGCGGUGAAAUGCGCAGAUAUCAGGAAGAACACCUAUGGCGAAGGCAGCUCUCUGGGACGGUACUGACGCUGAGACGCGAAAGCGUGGGGAGCGAACAGG